rnacentral:rRNA from 1 species
CUACGGGAGGCUCCAGUGGGGAAUAUUGGACAAUGGGGGAAACCCUGAUCCAGCAAUGCCGCGUGUGUGAAGAAGGCCUGCGGGUUGUAAAGCACUUUCGGUUGGGAGGACUGCUUCUAGCACUAAUAUUGUUGGAAGUUGACGUUACCUUCAGAAGAAGCACCGGCUAACUCCGUGCCAGCAGCCGCGGGUAAUACGGAGGGUGCAAGCGUUAAUCGGAAUUACUGGGCGUAAAGCGCGCGUAGGCGGCUAGAUCAGUCGGGUGUGAAAGCCCCGGGCUUAACCUGGGAACUGCAUCCGAUACUGUCUAGCUUGAGUACAGGAGAGGAGAGUGGAAUUCCACAUGUAGCGGUGAAAUGCGUAGAUAUGUGGAGGAACAUCAAUGGCGAAGGCAGCUCUCUGGCCUGAUACUGACGCUGAGGUGCGAAAGCGUGGGGAGCAAACAGGAUUAGAUACCCCUGUAGUC